rnacentral:lncRNA from 1 species
GUCACGUAAAGUACAUAUGUAGGUAAAAAGUCAAAUUCUGUAAAAAAAGAUUGUAUAUGCUCAUGUUUGUCAAACGUGAAAAUGCUAUAAUUAAUUUUUAACUUACGUUUUAAUGAUUAAAUAUGAAUAAAUCAAAUCUGCUAAUAAGUAAAUAUGGAUAACUUAAAUCAACUAAAAAAUAUAUGAAAUAUUAGUGAAAAAUAACUGACACCAAGAGAGGAGCACCAAAACC